UACAGAGGUCUCAAGCGUUGUUCGGAUUCAUUGGGCGUAAAGGGUGCGUAGGCGGCGCGGUAAGUUGGGAGUGAAAUCUCUGGGCUUAACCCAGAGGCUGCUUCCAAAACUGCUGUGCUUGAGUGUGGGAGAGGCGCGUGGAAUUGCAGGUGUAGCGGUGAAAUGCGUAGAUAUCUGCAGGAACACCCGUGGCGAAAGCGGCGCGCUGGACCACUACUGACGCUGAGGAACGAAAGCUAGGGGAGCAAACAGG
rnacentral:rRNA from 1 species